rnacentral:rRNA from 1 species
AUCCUGGCUCAGAUUGAACGCUGGCGGAAUGCUUUACACAUGCAAGUCGAACGGCAGCACGGACUUCGGUCUGGUGGCGAGUGGCGAACGGGUGAGUAAUAUAUCGGAACGUGCCCAGUCGUGGGGGAUAACGUAGUGAAAAUUACGCUAAUACCGCAUACGAUCUAAGGAUGAAAGCGGGGGAUCGCAAGACCUCGCGCGAUUGGAGCGGCCGAUAUCAGAUUAGGUAGUUGGUAGGGUAAAAGCCUACCAAGCCUGCGAUCUGUAGCUGGUCUGAGAGGACGACCAGCCACACUGGAACUGAGACACGGUCCAGACUCCUACGGGAGGCAGCAGUGGGGAAUUUUGGACAAUGGGCGAAAGCCUGAUCCAGCAAUGCCGCGUGCAGGACGAAGGCCUUCGGGUUGUAAACUGCUUUUGUACGGAACGAAAAGGUAGCUCCUAAUACGAGCUGCUGAUGACGGUACCGUAAGAAUAAGCACCGGCUAACUACGUG